CAGCAGCCGCGGUAAUACAGAGGAUGCAAGCGUUAUCCGGAAUGAUUGCGCGUAAAGCGUCUGUAGGUGGCUUUUCAAGUCUGCCGUCAAAUCCCAGGGCUCAACCCUAGACAGGCGAUGGAAACUACCAAGCUGGAGUACGGUAGGGGUAGAGGGAAUUUCCGGUGGAGCGGUGAAAUGCGUUGAGAUUAGAAAGAACACCAACGGCAAAAGCACUCUGUUGGGCCGACACUGACACUGAGAGACGAAAGCUAGGGGAGCAAAUGGGAUUAGAUACCCCCGUAGUCCCUGUCUCUUAUAC
rnacentral:rRNA from 1 species